rnacentral:rRNA from 1 species
UCAGCGACUGGGGUGAAGUCGUAACAAGGUAGCCGUAGGGGAACCUGCGGCUGGAUCACCUCCUUUCUAAGA